AUUAAUUCUUGUAAAUUGUUUUAGUUGAAUUACACAUUAAUUAUUACUGAUAAAGACAUAAAUGAUAAGUCAGUCUUUGCUGAAGUAACAAUUGAGAUUGAAAAGGUUUCAAUAAAUUAGAAUAAACUGUGAAGGAUUGUCACAACAUAAGACAAGUAAGGGUUGUUCCUGUACCUUUUGUAUCAGGGUUUGAGGAAUAAAAUAGUUCAUUUACAACUUCCCGAAAGGGGGAGAUCUUUGAUGGGAGUCAAGGUUGUUGUUACAUUACCAUCUGCAAUCUCAUUAAAGUGGUGAAAUGCCUUUCGCUCCUUCUGAUAUCUGGUUUCUGUCGAAUAAGACUACCUCGUGCAAAGGGUGAGUUUAAUUUAACCAAAUUCCCCUUGUUGAAGUUUAAGGGGAUAAGCUCUUAGAUAUUAAAGAUAAAUAAAGUUUCUGACACUUAUUGUGACUUUUACACUUAUGUUUUAGGUAAAAGGGUGAUUGAAUUUAUUUGUCAUUAAAUUACUUUUUAUAAACUUUUAAGGCAGAUGUCUUUUUAAAUUAUGAAAAAAGAUUAAUUAUCUCAGAAUAAGUAGAAUUGUGAUAAAUUUAACUAAGGAACUCGGCAAUUCAGAGUUCAGCCUGUUUAAUAAAAACAUGUCCUUCUGGGCAUUUACAUAGAAGGUCGGGCCUGCCCGCUGCACCCUUGAUGUGAAGGGCCGCAGAACUAUAACUGUGCUAAGGUAGCAUAAUAAUUUGCCCUUUAAUUGAGGGCUAGAAUGAAUGGUUUGACUAGAUCUCACCUGUCUCAGUUAAAUGAGAUUUAAACUUAAACUUUAAGUGAAAAUGCUUAAAUGUUAGGAAAGGACGAGAAGACCCUGUAGAUCUUGAUUUACUUGAAUUUACAUAAUUGAGAGAUGAAAAGUAAUUUUGUCUGGGGCGGAUGUCAAUAACAUGAUUGAAUAUUAAAACAUGAUUGUUGAACUAUUAGACCCUCCACAGCGAGGGCUUAUGAUAAAGUUACCUCAGGGAUAACAGCGCAUGAUAUUUUCUUUUAAGAUCAUAUUGAAUAGAAAAGAUUGCGACCUCGAUGUUGAAUUAAGCUUCCUUUCUGAAGUAAAAGGUAGAAAAGUUAGUCUGUUCGACUAUUAAAAGCUUACAUGAUUUGAGUUUAGACCGACGUGAGUCAGGUCAGAUUCUAUCCUUCCUAUUGAGAAUUCAUCUUGUCUAGUACGAAAGGAUUGAUCAAGAUUAACUUUAAAUUUAUUGUUUUACUGAUGUUCAUUAUUAUUAUCUAUAAUUCUGCAUC
rnacentral:rRNA from 1 species